rnacentral:rRNA from 1 species
CGUAGGGGGCUAGCGUUGUCCGGAUUUAUUGGGCGUAAAGAGCGUGUAGGCGGCCAUGUAGGUCCGGUGUGAAAACUCGAGGCUUAACCUCGAGAUGUCAUCGGAAACCAUUUGGCUAGAGUCCGGAAGAGGAGAGUGGAAUUCCUGGUGUAGCGGUGAAAUGCGCAGAUAUCAGGAAGAACACCAAUGGCGAAAGCAGCUCUCUGGGACGGUACUGACGCUGAGACGCGAAAGCGUGGGGAGCGAACAGGAUUAGAUACCCUGGUAGUCCACGCCGUAAACGAUGGGCGCUAGGUGUGGGCGGUGUCGACUCCGUCCGUGCCGAAGCUAACGCACUAAGCGCCCCGCCUGGGGAGUACGGCCGCAAGGCUA